rnacentral:rRNA from 1 species
UAAACUCCUGUUGUUGAGGAAGAUAAUGACGGUACUCAACAAGGAAGUGACGGCUAACUACGUGCCAGCAGCCGCGGUAAAACGUAGGUCACAAGCGUUGUCCGGAAUUACUGGGUGUAAAGGGAGCGCAGGCGGGAAGACAAGUUGGAAGUGAAAUCUAUGGGCUCAACCCAUAAACUGCUUUCAAAACUGUUUUUCUUGAGUAGUGCAGAGGUAGGCGGAAUUCCCGGUGUAGCGGUGGAAUGCGUAGAUAUCGGGAGGAACACCAGUGGCGAAGGCGGCCUACUGGGCACCAACUGACGCUGAGGCUCGAAAGUGUGGGUAGCAAACAGGAUUAGAUACCCUGGUAGUCCACACCGUAAACGAUGAUUACUAGGUGUUGGAGGAUUGACCCCUUCAGUGCCGCAGUUAACACAAUAAGUAAUCCACCUGGGGAGUACGACCGCAAGGUUGAAACUCAAAGGAAUUGACGGGGGCCCGCACAAGCAGUGGAGUAUGUGGUUUAAUUCGACGCAACGCGAAGAACCUUACCAAGUCUUGACAUCCCUUGACGAACAUAGAAAUAUGUUUUCUCUUCGGAGCAAGGAGACAGGUGGUGCAUGGUUGUCGUCAGCUCGUGUCGUGAGAUGUUGGGUUAAGUCCCGCAACGAGCGCAACCCUUAUGGUCAGUUACUACGCAAGAGGACUCUGGCCGGACUGCCGUUGACAAA